GUUUCUUUCCCUGUUAAUUUAUCAACUUAUGCUCAUGAUCUGGAAGCAUUGUGCAGAAUGCAGAGUUUGUACAAGGUUUUAUGUGACCAACCAUUCAGCAUAAUCUAUAUGUCCCUACUGUGAGAGCCCCUCUUGUAGAAUAUUCUGUUUUUUCAAAGGUAGAUGGAGAAGUUGAGGAAAACAGAGUCACUUUGGAGACAAUUUCAUCUUUUUACAUUUCUAAAAGUAAGUAUAUCUGGGCCAAAACAGGGACUUAAGAAGAAAUAUCUUUAAGAAUUUUAGAAGCUUUUAUGUUAGCAAUUUUACCUGGUAAAACUAAGAUCUAUUAGAUUAAUUUGAGAUAAGACCUCUAAGUCCUGAACAAAGGCAGAUUC
rnacentral:lncRNA from 1 species